CACGUGCUGAGUCCGUGCAAGACGACGCUAUAAAACCAUUGCACGUGAAGUCCGAGCUCUAAGUUACGUCGCUGACGGAAAGAUUCACCAUGUCUGUUGGAACCACCGUACUGGCCCUCCUCCUCGUCUCGGCCGUCGUCCGAGCGGAGAUUCCUGCCGGUUACAAUGCCCUGUGUAACCAUGCCAGGUCCAGUGUAGGUAACUCA